rnacentral:rRNA from 1 species
UACAGAGGUCUCAAGCGUUGUUCGGAUUCAUUGGGCGUAAAGGGUGCGUAGGCGGCGCGGUAAGUCGGGGGUGAAAUCUCGGAGCUUAACUCCGAAACUGCAUUCGAUACUGCCGUGCUUGAGGACUGGAGAGGAGACUGGAAUUUACGGUGUAGCGGUGAAAUGCGUAGAGAUCAUGAGGAAGACCAGUGGCGAAGGCGGGUCUCUGGACAGUUCCUGACACUGAGACACGAAGGCCAGGGGAGCAAACGGG